UAGGGAAUCUUCCACAAUGGGCGCAAGCCUGAUGGAGCAACACCGCGUGAGUGAAGAAGGGUUUCGGCUCGUAAAGCUCUGUUGUUAAAGAAGAACGUGGGUAAGAGUAACUGUUUACCCAGUGACGGUAUUUAACCAGAAAGCCACGGCUAACUACGUGCUAG
rnacentral:rRNA from 1 species